rnacentral:rRNA from 1 species
GAUGAACGCUGGCGGCGUGCUUAACACAUGCAAGUCGAACGGGAUCCAAGGGGUGCUUGCACUUUUUGGUGAGAGUGGCGAACGGGUGAGUAACACGUGAGUAACCUGUCCUUUUCUUUGGGAUAAGCAUUCGAAAGGGUGUUUAAUACCUUAUGUUCUGUCUGCCUCGCAUGGGGUGGGUGGGAAAGGCUUUGGCCGGAUUUGGGUGGGCUCGCGGUCUAUCAGCUUGUUGGUGGGGUGAUGGCUUACCAAGGCUUUGACGGGUAGCCGGCCUGAGAGGGUGGUCGGUCACAUUGGGACUGAGAUACGGACCAGACUCCUGCGGGAGGCAGCAGUGGGGGAUAUUGCACAAUGGGCGAAAGCCUGAUGCAGCGACGCCGCGUGGGGGAUGAAGGCCUUCGGGUUGUAAACUUCUUUUGCUCUGAACAAGGCAUGCCAGUGGGUGUGUUGAGUGUAGGGGUUGAUUAGCGCCGGCUAACUACGUG